CCUGAGAUCUUUAUUGAGAGAGAAAUAAAUCAUUACAAUUACGUUGGAGGAUAAAUACCUGUAAUAUGUAUGGAUAUAAAAUCAGAUAUGUUGCAGUGAGAUAUAAACGAUGGUAGAGUUGGCAGUCGACAAUUCGUUGAGAAAUUGCCAGUCUUUAGUCCAAAUGUCACAGUCUUUAGUCCUAAUCACAAACACUCAAAUAAUGCCAAUCCUGAUGGAAAAAUUUCACUUCUCCUCAAUGGUGCUCUUCUUCUCUCAAUACUUCGAUACACCAUCAGGAUGUCGGAUGUCUUCUCAGGAAGUUGUCAGGGACGACCGAUUUUCUCCAUUAUUUAUUUCUGGCUCUUUCUCAUGUUCGACCUCUCUCCU
rnacentral:lncRNA from 1 species